UGGGGGAUAUUGCACAAUGGGCGAAAGCCUGAUGCAGCGACGCCGCGUGGGGGAUGAAGGCUUUCGGGUUGUAAACCUCUUUCGCUAUCGAACAAGGCCCGCUUAGGGUGGGUUGAGGGUAGUUGGAGAAGAAGCGCCGGCUAACUACGUGCCAGCAGCCGCGGUAAUACGUAGGGCGCGAGCGUUGUCCGGAAUUAUUGGGCGUAAAGGGCUUGUAGGCGGCUUGUUGCGCCUGCUGUGAAAACGCGGGGCUUAACUUCGCGCGUGCAGUGGGUACGGGCAGGCUUGAGUGUGGUAGGGGUGACUGGAAUUCCAGGUGUAGCGGUGGAAUGCGCAGAUAUCUGGAGGAACACCGAUGGCGAAGGCAGGUCACUGGGCCAUUACUGACGCUGAGGAGCGAAAGCAUGGGUAGCGAACAGG
rnacentral:rRNA from 1 species